rnacentral:ncRNA from 2 species
UUGAAUACUAAAUCUAUUGGUACAAUCGUAUGUAUAAGAUUGCUUAAAAAGGAAGUUCGGUGUAAUUCCGACAUGGUCCCGCCACUGUAAUGGAUAAAAUUUUGCGAAUACCACUGUGUUAUAAACAUGGGAAGGUGUAAAAUUUGUUAUUCCUAAGUCAGGAGACUUGCCAAUGAAAACAACGCUGU